rnacentral:rRNA from 1 species
UAAGUAAGUGGUGGAAAUUAAACCAAAUGGGAUAUCUUUAGUAAUUGCGAAUGAACAAGGAUAUGCUUAGCUAGACAAAUGGAGCUAUUGGCUUUGAAUUGUAUUUGUGGAAUGUAUUACCAACAGAGGUGCAGGUGCCAGCCUAUUAAAUAAAGCGUCAAUGAGGGUGAGAAUCCUGUUUGUCAUGUGCAGCCCUUUGUGCACGGUGUAUAUUUGCUGAGUCACACUCCUUGGCAUUGGAAUGCAAAGUGGGUGGUAAGUUUCAUGUACAGGUAAACAUGCAAUUGAGACUGAUAGCACACAAGUACCAUGAGGGAAAUAUGAAAAGGACUUUGAAAAGAGAAUUAAAUGAGUUUGUAUUUGCUGAACACAAAGUAAACAGACUUGAUUUGCUUGGUGGGAGUGUUGCACUUGCUUGACAAGAGCUGUGGGCUGUGGGUGUAAUGAUUCUUUCUUUGCAUGCCAGUUUCUAUGUGUACAUCUGAUUACCUUUGCACAUGAAUGAUAAGUCUCCUGUGGGGGGUGGAUUGCAUGUGCAUGUAAUGAUUUGUGUUUUGAUAAAUGUGUCUGGUGUAUGUGUGUGUGUUCCUGUGCUUGGGGAUGCUUCCUUCCUUGGACUUACAAGCCCUGACACACACAUGCUGGCAAAAUGCUUCUGCUUGACCCG